ensembl:lncRNA novel transcript, sense intronic to ANKRD12
CACAUUUAUGUGUUUAACAUAGACACAUUUAUGUGUUUAACAUAGACACAUUUAUGUGUUUACAAUACAUAUGCAGACUCUAUAUAAACACAUAAAUGUGUGUAAUAUUCAUACUGUCACCUUUUCUUACUCUUGCAAAGGUGAUGUAAUUCAAGUUUGACUUCCUUGAAACAAUUCUCGGGAUAUGUCUAGUUAUAUUAGAAGUUUAGUUGUGUCAAAUAUUGUUCUAAAAGAGACUAAAAGCAUAGGUGAGAAAUAUUCCUGGAUGUAGUGGGAAGUUUUUUUAAUUUUUAUUUUUUAAUGAGAAUUACUAAAGCAGCAAAACACAGCACAAUAUAGUAGAAAGCACUGUAGAUUUCCAAUUUGCAUAUAUUACUGCAGAGUGGAUUUUGCUACAGACCCACUGUGUGAUCUUAAUUAAUUCAUUUCCCAUCUCUGAUCCUUAGUUUUCACAUCUGUAAAACAAGAAUAAAUGUCUCCCCUACCUCAAGGCAGGUUGAAAUAGUAUAUGCUAAAGCCCAUUAAAACUUUAGAACACUAUAUAGAUUUAAGGUGGUUGCUGUUAUUUUAUACAGCUGCAAAUCACUGUAAGGGUCAUAUUUAUUCAAGCUAAUAAUAAGAACUCCAGACUUUGUACAUAAAAUGCUGUGUGUUUGAGUUUACUGGACUGAAACUCAUUUGUUUAAAAUUUAGUUUGAAAAAUAAUAAAGACCAGAAUAACAAAAAUCUUGUGGGCCCUACAUUCUUUUUCUUACUUUCCAAUAUGGCUUUAUCCAUUUGUUUCCUCCCAGCCAACUAAUUGCCAUUUUAUAAAAGUAAUCUUCCCUCACAUUUAUGUAAUCCAAUUAUAGAACCCAUUAGAAAUUAUAAAGUGGAGGCCAGGCCUGAUAACAAUAACUGUAAUCCCAAUACUUUAGGAGGCCAAGGUGGAAAGACCACUUGAGGCCAGGAGUUCAAGACCAACAGGAUGUCUACAAAAAUAAAAAAUAAAUGUGGUAAAACA